GAUGAACGCUAGCGGCAGGCCUAAUACAUGCAAGUCGAGCGGCAAGUUAGGUAGUAAUACUUGACCUAGAGCGGCGCACGGGUGCGUAACGCGUAUGCAACCUACCUUUUACUGGGGGAUAGCCCGGAGAAAUCUGGAUUAAUACCCCAUAGUACCUAAGGAUCGAUUGGUUUUUAGUUUAAAGAUUUAUCGGUAAAAGAUGGGCAUGCGUCUGAUUAGCUAGUUGGCGGGGUAACGCCCACAAGGCGACGAUCAGUAGGGGUUCUGAGAGGAAGGUCCCCCACACUGGCACUGAGAUACGGGCCAGACUCCUACGGGAGGCAGCAGUAGGGAAUAUUGGGCAAUGGUCGCAAGACUGACCCAGCCAUGCCGCGUGCAGGAAGACGGCCCUCUGGGUUGUAAACUGCUUUUAUCUGGGAAGAAAAAGUCCAUGCGUGGAAAAUUGCCGGUACCAGAUGAAUAAGCACCGGCUAACUCCGUG
rnacentral:rRNA from 1 species